rnacentral:rRNA from 1 species
GACAGAGGGUGCAAACGUUGUUCGGAAUUACUGGGCGUAAAGCGCGUGUAGGCGGCUUUGCAAGUCGGAUGUGAAAUCCCACGGCUCAACCGUGGAAGUGCAUUCGAAACUGCAAGGCUAGAGUUCUGGAGAGGAAGGUGGAAUGCUUGGUGUAGAGGUGAAAUUCGUAGAUAUCAAGCGGAACACCGGUGGCGAAGGCGGCCUUCUGGACAGUAACUGACGCUGAGGCACGAAGGCCAGGGGAGCAAACGGG